GAUGAACGCUGGCGGCGUGCCUAAUACAUGCAAGUCGAGCGAACAGACGAGGAGCUUGCUCCUCUGACGUUAGCGGCGGACGGGUGAGUAACACGUGGAUAACCUACCUAUAAGACUGGGAUAACUUCGGGAAACCGGAGCUAAUACCGGAUAAUAUAUUGAACCGCAUGGUUGAAUAGUGAAAGACGGUUUUGCUGUCACUUAUAGAUGGAUCCGCGCCGCAUUAGCUAGUUGGUAAAGUAACGGCUUACCAAGGCGACGAUGCGUAGCCGACCUGAGAGGGUGAUCGGCCACACUGGAACUGAGACACGGUCCAGACUCCUACGGGAGGCAGCAGUAGGGAAUCUUCCGCAAUGGGCGAAAGCCUGACGGAGCAACGCCGCGUGAGUGAUGAAGGUCUUCGGAUCGUAAAACUCUGUUAUUAGGGAAGAACAAAUGUGUAAGUAACUAUGCACGUCUUGACGGUACCUAAUCAGAAAGCCACGGCUAACUACGUG
rnacentral:rRNA from 1 species